ACUAACUACAUGAACAUUCUAAUUAUUUAUAGGAACAUGAGACCCAAUGAAAUCAUGAUCUUUCCUUUAGUUCUCAAAGGUUGCUCUAUGGAUGAAGGAAGGCUAAUUGUUUAAUUCAAUUUAAUCAACAUGUAUGGAGUGUCCAUACCUGCUGAUCCAAGGUAGGUGAUACCAGUGAAGGUAGAUCAAGGACUCAUAAAUGAUGAGGGAAGGAGAGGCUGGGAAGAGGCUGAAAAGUUUAGCUGGGCCAGGUGAGGAAGGAUCCGUAGGGGAUCUGACCUUCCCUAAAGAUGAGCCAGCUCUAAAUGCACCUGGGGUGUGAAAUCUGAGAAAUUAUGAAAAAAGGCAGCACCAUGAAAUCACCCAGGAUUCAGGAAAUCCUGGGCCUAUUUGUAUCCCUCAGCCUAUGUGACCAUGGUCCUACCAUCCCUCUCCUCAUGGAAGUCACAAUCGUCUUUUGAAACAGAAGACAGAUCAUAACCUAUCCUUCCUUAAAAAUCCUCCCACGGCAUCCCACAGGAUUUAGGAUACAAUUUGAACUUGAGCCUCACCAUAGCCUUCAAGGUCCUGCAUGAUCCAGCCUCUGCACACCUCUCCAACCUGCUCUUGAGCCAGCUCAUCUGUGAUCUGGCUCACUGCCCUUCUAUCUGGCAUGCAAGCAAGCUAAGCCUGUGCUUUUCUCAGAGCCUGUGUACCUGCUGGUCCUGCUGCCUGCAGACCACCCUCAUUUCUGAAGUGGGAAUGUUCCCAUCUAGUCGCUCUGCUUCACUUCUCCUUGUUUGAUGAUCUUCAGAGUAUUUCUCACCUUCUGAAAUUGUCUCCUUUGUUCAUUUGUUUAAUGUCUGUCUUCCCCUCAAUGUUAGCUUCAUGAGAGAGGACUCUCAUCUCUCUAACCCACCACUGAAUGCCCAGCACCUGGCAAAAUAUCUGGCUGCUAACAGGUGCCCCAUCUAGUUAACCUUUGAAUAACAUGGGUUUGACUUCCUGGGUCCAUGCACCCACAAUUUUUUUCCUAUAGUAUUACACAAUCUUCAGUUGGUGGAGUGAAUAUGGAAGAACCACAUGUAUGG
ensembl:lncRNA